rnacentral:rRNA from 4 species
AUUGUUUCGACGAACGGAAAUUCAUCGGAUUACACAUCCACCACCUCAGCCAGUAGGUACACUGGCAGAUUUGGGCCGCUUUUGUGGCCAUUAGAUUCCCUCAGAGACUAUACGCUAAGCCCAGUUCUCUGAAGCAAGGAUGUCGGCUUUUAGCUGACGUCCCUUUUUCAGAGAACUGGUGAAGAUAUAGUCCGUUCUACAUAGCGAUAUGUAGAGGCAAGCAGAAAUGACUUGUCCGAGUAAUGUAUUUUAGUUUAACUUUGAAACUUUAUAACUUUCAACUUUAAACUAAAAAUGUUACUUAGUAACAUUUAAGACCCCAGUAGUCUACGCCCUAAACGAUGAUCUCUAGCUUUUCGGAGUAUCGACCCUCUGAGAGGCGAAGCUAACGCGUUAAGAGAUCCGCCUGGGUAGUACGGCCGCAAGGCUAAAACUCAAAGGAAUAGACGGGGACUUGCACAAGCAGUGGAUCAUGUGGUUUAAUUCGACGACAAACGAAGAACCUUACCAGGAUUUGAAACCUAGAUGAAGACACGUAGAAACAUGUGUCGUCCGCAAGGACAUUUAGGCAGGUGAUGCAUGGCCGUCGUCAGUUCGUGAUCUGAAUUGUUCCCUUAAGUGGGGUAACGAACGCAACCCUCGUCGGCUGUUACAAGUGUCAGCCGAGACUGCCCAGCUUUUUGAGCGUAAGCUCAAAAAGACAAUUGACCAUUGACCUUUACAAUUGACUUCAAAUGCGAGAAUCCGCUUUUUAGUUAAAUGUUAAUUGUCAGGUGUCAAAUGUGCUUUUUGUUCUUGUGAACAAAAAGCUGGGAGGAAGGCGAGGAUGACGCCAGGUCAGCAUGUCCCUCUGAUAUCCUGGGCUACACACGUGAUACAAUCGCCGCUACAACGCGUUGCAAUGAGGAAACUCAAAGCUAAUCGUAAUAAAGGCGGCGCCAGUUCGGAUAGAGGUCUGCAACCCGACCUCUUGAAGCCGGAAUUGCUAGUAAUCGCGGGUCAGCAUACCGCGGUGAAUACGUUCUCAAGUCUUGUACUCACCGCCCGUCAACUCAAGGGAGUUGGGAAUACCCGAAGUUCUCUGCAAGGAGACCUAAGGUAAGCUCAAUAACAGGGAGUAAGUCGUAACAAGGCACGG